AUGAAUAAGACAAACGGAUGUAGUCAAACGAAUCCUCACAACUCCGGAACGAAACCGAAGCUAACGAGAGAGGCAACCCGGAAAGAAUCAAGCAACAUAGUAAACAACAAUCACAUAACAUGGCAUGAUGCACAAUCAAGUAUGAUGCAUGUUCGGUUUAAAUAUGCAUUGCAUGGCAAAGGGCACAAACAAAACUAUAAGUUAAGUGGAGCUCAAUAUGCAACGAGUUGCAUAUUGACGGAACACCACAACAAGUUAUUUAGUUCGAUCUCGCUUAUGUACUCAACAAUAUUAAAUGUUGUUAAACAUGACAAGAGAGUGAAACAUAACAAAACUAUACCAUCUAACACUUUAAAUGGGGCCGGAUAUAACAAACAACAAAUCCGGUAA
rnacentral:rRNA from 1 species